AACGAACGCUGGCGGCAUGCCUAACACAUGCAAGUCGAACGCCUGUAGCAAUACAGGAGUGGCAGACGGGUGCAAAACGCGUGGAAACCUAUCCUUGGGUUCGGAAUAACCGCGGGAAACUGCGGCUAAUACCGGAUACGUCCUUCGGGAGAAAGAUUUAUCGCCCAUUGAGGGGUCCGCGUCUGAUUAGCUAGUUGGUGAGGUAAUGGCUCACCAAGGCGACGAUCAGUAGCUGGUCUGAGAGGAUGAUCAGCCACACUGGAACUGAGACACGGUCCAGACUCCUACGGGAGGCAGCAGUGGGGAAUAUUGGACAAUGGGCGCAAGCCUGAUCCAGCAAUGCCGCGUGGGUGAUGAAGGCCUUCGGGUUGGAAAGCCCUUUUGGCGGGGACGAUGAUGACGGUACCCGCCGAAUAGGCUCCGGCUAACUUCGUGCCAGCCGCCGCGGUAACAC
rnacentral:rRNA from 1 species